GUUAUAAACCUCCUAGACCUACUGAUGACUUCAUCCAAGUGUAUAGCCACACAUCUUAAUGGAUUAUCAAAAAUGAAAAGAGUAGAAAUUGCGAGAAAAAAUAGACUUAACCAACAAACCCCAGACAAUGUACCUGAUUCCUUCGCGAACACAGAAAUCCAUUAAGAACGUGAUGGUAAAACUGAUGCAGAGGAGACAAUACAUUCGAAUUCCUCUGAUGAAAAUCAUGGAUGUGAAGGUUUAGAUUUGGAUUAUAAUUACGCGUCUGAUUAGAAGACAAAUACAUGGUUGCCCCAUACACUCUGCCCACCUCAGUUUACAAGUUCACCCAUUGAGCCAGCGAUUCGAAAGUAAAACCCGAAUAAGAAGUUCAUUACUUUUAACUAGAUAAAUUCAACAGUUCAUCCUCGAGACUCCUGCUCAGAGUACUCUAUCAUGUUCAGGAUCACGUUAGCGACAUCCGGAUAUGUUUGAUUUGUCAAGACAGUCUGCAGGCCAUUCAAUAUCUAAUUGAGGAGCUCGAUAUGAAUUUACCUAUUGAUCAAAUGGAUAAACUCUAUUGACAGCAAGCAAAGACGGGAUAAAUUAUGAGAGUAUUACAACAAAACCCACAGAUAGACUGACUUGUCCAGUCUGUAAGCGCGCAGUGGGCUUAGCACACAAAUGUAAAAAUUGUCAUCUUCCAGUUCAGGCUAUUGAUACUUGCUCAAUACCAGAUGCUGAAGCCAACGAAGGUAUUGGACAGUUGAGGGCUUCUCAUAUUUGUAACGAAAAGACUUCUAGGAUUAUCGAUUCUCCUUUCUCAGAAUCUAAUUCCAAAUUUCCAAGCUGUAAAAAAUCUGGCAGGAAACUGAGCAUUUGCAUUGUACAUAUGAUUUGUUCUAUACGAGUCGCUAUCGUUACGUUAUUCCAUACAAAAAUAAUUUACCAUGACAAUGAUUUUUCACAAGUUUGAUUAAUGUCUUCAAUGGAAUAUCAAGUUUUGUUUAUUCGAGUUCAAUUUAAGAAAUCAUGGGUGUAAUCUUGAGGAAGCAAAAUUACAAUUCGUCCAAAAUAACAUUUGACGAACCUGAAAUUCUAUAAUUACGAUUAGUCAUUUUUUCGUUGUAUUCUCUUUUCACUUAAUUUUGUCGCCGAAAAAAAGAUUUUGAAUCAUUCUAGAAGUACCUCAUUAUUAUAGAUCUAUUUUUAUCGAAACAUUUUCUUCAAAUUGACUUAUUUUUCUUAAAAAUCUGUCGGAGUAUA